UAAGAACACAUUGAAAUUCAGAAGGAUGGACACCAGGGGAAGGCCUCCAUACAUAUCUUUGUCCACACAUCAAACAAUGAGCAAAAUUUAUACACACACUGAGAGAACCAACUGUCUGAACCCUGGGCGAAGGAAAACAAGUUGUUUAUACAGCACAGUUUGUGAAG